rnacentral:rRNA from 1 species
UGCGCAGGCGGGCUUGUAAGUCAGUGGUGAAAUACUGCCGCUUAACGGUAGAACUGCCAUUGAUACUGCGAGUCUUGAAUAUGGUUGAGGUAGGCGGAAUGUGUUGUGUAGCGGUGAAAUGCAUAGAUAUGACACAGAACGCCAAUUGCGAAGGCAGCUUACUAGGCCAUUAUUGACGCUGAGGCACGAAAGCGUGGGGAGCGAACAGGAUUAGAUACCCUGGUAGUCC